GUAGGGUCCAAGCGUUAAUCGGAAUUACUGGGCGUAAAGCGUGCGCAGGCGGUUGUGCAAGACCGAUGUGAAAUCCCCGGGCUUAGCCUGGGAAUUGCAUUGGUGACUGCACGGCUAGAGUGUGUCAGAGGGGGGUAGAAUUCCACGUGUAGCAGUGAAAUGCGUAGAGAUGUGGAGGAAUACCGAUGGCGAAGGCAGCCCCCUGGGAUAACACUGACGCUCAUGCACGAAAGCGUGGGGGGAGCAAACAGGAUUAGAUACCCUGGUAGUCCACGCCCCUAAACGAUGUCAACUAGUUGUUGGGGAUUCAUUUCCUUAGUAACGUAGCUAACGCGUGAAGUUGACCGCCUGGGAUACGGUCGCAAGAUUA
rnacentral:rRNA from 1 species